rnacentral:lncRNA from 1 species
GCUCUAAUAUGCUUAGUUCACUCAAAGAUGGCAUAAUUAGCUAGGUUGGCUCCAUUUUACCUAAGUUGGCUCUAAUAUGCUAAGUUAUCUCUACUAUGCUUAGUUUCCUAUAGGUUAGCUCCAAAAUUACUUAUGUUAGCACAAAAUGACCAAGUUUACAUAAUAAGCUUAAUUAUAGUCUUCUUCUUCUUCUUCUUCUCCAAAAUGACAUAACUUAGCUCUAAUAUGCUUAGUUCACUCAAAGAUGGCAUAAUUAGCUAGGCUGGCUCUAUUUUACCUAAGUUGGCUCUAAUAUGCUAAGUUAUCUCUAAUAUGCUUAGUUUCCUAUAGGUUAACUCCAAAAUUACUUAUGUUAGCACAAAAUGACCAAGUUUAUAUAAUAAGCUUAAUUAUAGUCUUCUUCUUCUUCUUCUUCUUCUUCUUCUUCUAGUAUUCUUCUAGUCUUCUUCUAGUAUUCUUCUAGUCUUCUUCUUCUUCUUCUUCUUCUUCUUCUUCUUCUAGAUUAGCUCCAUUUUACUUAAGUAUGCUUACUUCUUAUAGUCUUUUUCUUCUUCUUUUUCUUCUUCUUUUUCUAACAUCUUGUUUAUCAUUUUGCAGAUUUGAUUUAAUUCACGAAAGCUUGCAUGGAUGGAGUGCUUCUUUUCCAUUUGUGCUUUUAUAGAUGGAGUGCUUGUUUGGAUGAACUAUGUUUCUUUUGUAUCGAUGAACUAUGCAUGUAUGGUAGGAUGACACUAUCGUAAUAUGUAUGGUUGGAUGCAUGUAUGUGGAACUUGCUAUGUAUGGUUGAUGGAACUAUGCAUGUAUGAUGAAAUUAUAUGUGUUGGAUAUCUCAUAUGUUUGCUGUGAACUUGCCAUGUGAAAAAUAUAUAUGUAUCAUCUAUUGCUGUGAAAAUGGUUGGGUAUAAGAAAAAACAGAAAAAAGAGGCAAUGCAGGCUCUUUGCCGUCUGCCACCGACGGCAACGGGCUCUUUGCCGUCCGCCGCGGACGGCAAAGAAGCCACGUGGCAACCACCUGUGCUUCCUGGCAGCUGACCCAUUUGGUCAGUUUGCCUACAGUGGCAGACAGCAAAGGCUUGACAUCAGCGGCGGACGGCAAAG